rnacentral:rRNA from 1 species
UACGUAGGGUGCAAGCGUUAAUCGGAAUUACUGGGCGUAAAGCGUGCGCAGACGGUGAUGUAAGACAGAUGUGAAAAUCCCCGGGCUCAACCUGGGAACUGCAUUUGUGACUGCAUCGCUGGAGUGCGGCAGAGGGGGAUGGAAUUCCGCGUGUAGCAGUGAAAUGCGUAGAUAUGCGGAGGAACACCGAUGGCGAAGGC